GACGAACGCUGGCGGCAGGCUUAACACAUGCAAGUCGAGCGGGGGAGGUUGCUUCGGUAACUGACCUAGCGGCGGACGGGUGAGUAAUGCAUAGGAAUCUGCCUAUUAGUGGGGGACAACAUUCCGAAAGGGAUGCUAAUACCGCAUACGCCCUACGGUGGAAAGCAGGGGAUCUUCGGACCUUGAGCUAAUAGAUGAGCCUAAGUCGGAUUAGCUAGUUGGUGGGGUAAAGGCUUACCAAGGCGACGAUCUGUAGCUGGUCUGAGAGGAUGAUCCGCCACACUGGGACUGAGACACGGCCCAGACUCCUACGGGAGGCAGCAGUGCGGAAUAUUGGACAAUGGGCUGAAGCCUGAUCCAGCCAUGCCGCGUGUGUGAAGAAGGCCUUUUGGUUGUAAAGCACUUUAAGCGAGGAGGAGGCUCUUAAGGUUAAUACCCUUGAUGAGUGGACGUUACUCGCAGAAUAAGCACCGGCUAACUCUGUGCCAGCAGCCGCAGUAAGAC
rnacentral:rRNA from 1 species